GGUUCUUUGAUCCUUGUGUGGGGUGUUCUAGAUAUGGUGAAGUAUGCAUGGAGCUUGUGAGUAAUCAAUAAGGGAUCAGUCACUCUUGAUAAGAGGAGUGAACAUCCUAUGUGAUCUCAUAGGUCGUUGAUUCGAAAGUCUUUGGCCAAAGUAGGAUGAUAAUUAAAAAAAAAAUUUAAUAUAUCAUCAACUGAAUCAUCCCC
rnacentral:lncRNA from 1 species